AACAGCAUUGUUUAGCAGUAGCACAGGAACGCGUCUGCUGGCUGAGCUGAAGAGCAACAAGUGGCACUUGAGGCAUUUUAACAGUGGAUGAAAUGGGUCAGAUGCUAGGCGUGUUGUGCAACAUAAUCAUAAAUCCUCUGAUGCCAGGACCACUUCCACUUCCACAGAGGAGACCUUCCAGGGACAACAAUGUGAACUUGAUGAACGACCAAGUCCUCUCUCUGAAGGAAUCCUUCAUGUGUCUUAUCUGCCACGAGACGGUGACAGACCCCAUCAUGUGUCCUCGCUGCCAGAGCAUUGUGGGAUGUGCUGCUUGUCUCCAGGAUGGACCUAGGCGUAUACAGCGUUGUCCCAAAUGUAUGACUGCUGGUUUUGGAGACAGUUACUUAAGGCUGAAGGGUGUGGAUGAAGCUUUAGACGCCAUCCGUAUGUUACCUGACUAAAUACUCAGAAGAAGAAUUCAACGGAGUCCGUGACUGAAGAUUUUCAGCAGGACCCCUCAUCACUCACAAAGUCGUCCUGAAAUAAGGUGAGCAGAGACCUGUUGUUUGUAAAAACAAACAAAAACUCUGCAAAUUGAAUACUAUUAAAUUUCUGUGAGUGUUUAGGAGGUAAGGUUAACUGUCCUGAAUUGUUUUGAUAAGAUCAUGCAUACUGGCUGGAUUUUUUUGGAAAAUUGAUCAUUGAAAUUGCAUUGGGGAGCAAUAUGUCAUGUUUUCAUCACACAUGUUUCCUGUACUAUAUAUCUAACCAUUGUUGAUGUCUCGGUGGAUCUGAAGCAAGCCAGUUUCUUGCUAUAGCCUUCCUGCCAGCUGUGAGAAGAAUUUUAACCAGAUAGUUUUCUUCCUUCAGUUCAACUUUACCUUUAUUUCCCAGGUAUAGAGUGAAGCACUUCUUAAUCAUCGUAUAUCCGAGUACUUUGUUCAUCACAGAGUUGACUUCAUCCCAAAAGAUAUGUGUAUGGUUAGCAUUUAUUUCACCACAUUGCCUCCAGCAUGUUUGCUGUUUUAAUAAUUGUUUGUUUUUUAAAUUUGGUGUCAUAAAAAAUGUGUUAAAUUCUUCCAAUUAAAUUCUCUCCAUGUAAAUGAA